AACCUAGGAAGAAGCAGAAGACUUGAGCCCAGGGAGAAGGCAGAAUAUCUUAAGCACUGGGAUAGGUCUUAGAGGAGAAAUUCUUCCCCUGUUUUCCCUGCUGCAGAUUAAAACUUCUCUAGAAGUGCUGAUGCAUUCUUCAUGCACUGCUCCUUUAGAGCUGCAGCCCAGUUUAACAUCUCUAUUUACCUCAACAGAAUCAUUUCAGAAAGAUGUUGGCUACACUGAUAUCAUUGAUGUCUGUAAGGUUUUCCCGUUGGGCAUGAGGCGGUAUCCUGCGGGACAGACACACUGGAAGCUGCCCAGGCUGUUCCUGCACUCGUGCUGACACGUGUCUCUGCUCUCACACUCAUCGAUGUCUGCAGAGAGAAGCACCAACACCUCAGCACUCCCUAAGCCUGCCAUGAACACAGAUUACUGCUGCCAAUGGGAGUCUACAGAAGCACUGGAACUAGGCUGGGAAUACUGGUGGUUUUUGCAGUGUGAGAAGAUUCAUCAAGUUCAACCAGUGUCCUUGGAACAAGUUGUGGAUCAGCAAUAGAAGCUUUUCAUAGAAAUUAUGAAAGAAAACAGGUGAAAAUCUGCGCAAUGAGCAGUCUGUGCAAUACAAGCAGAACUGACUGCAGGGAAUCACCAGCAUUGGUUCCAGAGCUGCCCCUGUGAGAAGACGCUACUGAGGCAUGGGAACCAUAAUAUUUACAAGAACAAGCUGGAAUCCUGGGUCACAGCCACAGUGGAAACUUCCUAUGGUAUUGAAGCAACGCUGAUGGCAGGAGUUGGACUCUUGACACUCGUUAAUGUCUGUGGAACAAGACAAAUCCUUGACACCAGGGCUGGCAGUUUCCCUGUGGGCACUACCUGAGCAGGGUUUGGGUGAGCUCUACUCAGGAGUGUUUGCUUCUCUCCCAUCUUUAUACAAGAGAAUGCACAUGGGACACAAACCCAAGAAUGCUAAUUUCUUCCCUGACAGGAUUUUAAAUUUAUUUCUAAAGACAGAAGAAGCAAAAGAUUAAAAAACAAACCCAAACCUACAGAAAAACCAAAAAUCCACAGCCUUAAGAAUGAAAAUGUAUAGACAGGAGACGCCCUCUACAGCGAGUUUCAGCUGCAUGGAGCAGCAUUUUCAGCUGCAGGAGAGCUGACGAAGCCCACACGUACCUUGGCAGCCGAGGCCGUCGGGCGUCCUGCGGAAGCCGCUCCCGCAGCGCAGCACGCAGCGGAAGGAGCCGGGCAGGUUCUCGCAGUCCUGCCCCGCGUGGCAGCUGUGCCCCCCCAGAGCACACUCGUCGAUAUCUGCAAUGGGAAACCAGCUGCAAACCCUGCUCAGCCAGCACAGGGGACACACCAACCAGUGCCUUCAGCACCAGCAACUAGAAACACGUGGCCAUGAGUACAUUCAGCUAUGAAAUAAUUAAGAGUACCACCAAUAAAUUGUGUUCUUAUAAUGAGGAAACGGCCCAAAUAAAACCUCUCCUUAGC